GUCGAUAGCGACGACGUCCAUCGCGCUAUAACUCAUUGCCGUACUUAUGGCAGUUUCAAUCGAACAAACAUGUGAAUGGUAAUCAAUUUGUGCUCACCAUCCCCAAUUCAAUUUACUACUAUCAAUGGAAGUCAAGUCAAGUAGUCCUUGGUAUUUCGUAGCAUAUUUCGGAAUUUUCCGUUGUGUCUCGCCGCUGGUGCUCUCAAAUAAUGGGUUCCAGAAAAUCUACAAUGAAUUAGGGGAAUCAAUAUGUCAUUUCCAUGAUUCGUUGCGCUGUAUACGCUACCAUAUAAGAUGCAAUUGGAGCGAGUAACAAAAAACUCUGGCAUUGGUUUUUCCAUUCAUCCUCAUUUAAUAUCGGAACAGCGGCUUCGAAAUUUCCUGUCUCUACAUAAUGAAUGCUGAGGAAUAUGGCACACAACUCGAAAAAUUGUUCCUGCAUCUUCAUACGAAAGUCAUAAUACUCGCAUAGCGAAGGCAUGAUUGCCUGAAGAAAAUGGGCGAUUUCCAUAUGACGAUCAACAACCACCUUCGAAGAUUAGAAUUGAUCAAUUUUUUGAAUAUUUGCAUAUUAUAUUAAAAUUACA
rnacentral:lncRNA from 1 species